CAUGGGUGUCUUAUGCUUUUGUCCUCCACACGAAGAGCUGGCGUGCUGCGUUUCAUGUAGCUGUCCUGCCACAAUUGCUUUGUCCAUCAGGACAACCCGGGUCAGGGCGGUGUCUGGCUGCAGCAUAGCAGGUGGCGAUCGCUGUCACGAGGAGAGCCCUGUGUAACGUUAGGGGUAGGCUAACUGGGAGACUCAGAUUUUUGGUCCUCGAGUCUGGAGAGCUCUGCCUGACCUGCCUCAUUUUGUUUUGUCCUGUUUCCCUCUGCCUGCCCUGCUUUCGUUGCCUGCCCCCUUGCAUGUUCACAAUUGUUAUAAAAAUAAAACCAUUGUGAUUCAAUGGC